UGAAGUGCUUCGGCACGUAAACAUCUUUUAUGAGGGAGGAAGUUAUUGACGUUACCUCAUGAAUAAGGGGCUCCUAACUCUGUGCCAGCAGGAGCGGUAAUACAGAGGCCCCAAGCAUUAUCCGGAUUUACUGGGCGUAAAGGGUGCGUAGGCGGUUAUAUUAGUCUGGUGUUAAAUCCCAGGGCCCAACCCUGGAAUCGCAUUCGAAACGGUAUAACUAGAAUCAGUCAGAGGCAAGCAGAACUCUCGGUGUAGGGGUGAAAUCCGUUGAUAUCGAGGGGAAUACCAAAUGCGAAGGCAGCUUGCUGGGACUUGAUUGACGCUGAGGCACGAAAGCGUGGGUAGCGAAGCGGAUUAGAUACCCGCGUAGUCCACGCCCUAAACGCUGUCUGUUGGCUAUAGGGAGUAUCGACCCUCUCUGUGGCGAAGUUAACACGUUAAACAGACCGCCUGGGUAGUACGAUCGCAAGAUUAAAACUCAAAGGAAUAGACGGGGACCCGCACAAGCGGUGGAUCAUGUGGCUUAAUUCGUAGCUAAGCGAAAAACCUUACCAAGGCUAGAAACUAUACUGCACGCUCCGGGAAACCGGAGAAGCCUUCGAGGGUGUAUAGCAGGUGAUGCAUGGCCGUCGUCAGUUCGUGGCUUGAGCUGUUCCCUUAAGUGGGGAAACGAACGCAACCCUCGUUGCCUGUUACAAGUGUCAGGCGAGACUGCUCCCUCACGGGAGAGGAAGGUGAGGAUGACGCCAGGUCAGCAUGUCCCUUGAUGCCUUGGGCUGCACACGUGAUACAAUGGGUGGUACAAUGGGACGCAAUACCGCAAGGUGGAGCAAAUCCCCAAAACCAUCCUCAAUUCGGAUUGGGGUCUGCAACUCGACCCCAUGAAGCUGGAAUCGCUAGUAAUCGUGAAUCAGCAUCGUCACGGUGAAUACGUUCCCGAGCCUUGUACUCACCGCCCGUCAACUCAAGGGAGUCGGGAGUGCCCGAAGUGCCAGUUUAUCUGGUCCUACGGUAAGCUCGAUGACA
rnacentral:rRNA from 1 species